CAAACGGUCCUUCUUAGGAUCAUCAAUUUCUUCAUGUACAAAGAAU
rfam:Trachymyrmex zeteki contig4686, whole genome shotgun sequence.